CAGACUUUCAGAGAUGGAUUGGUGCCUUCGGGAACUCUGACACAGGUGCUGCAUGGCUGUCGUCAGCUCGUGUUGUGAAAUGUUGGGUUAAGUCCCGCAACGAGCGCAACCCUUGUCCUUUGUUGCCAGCGGUCCGGGCGGGAACUCCAAGGAGACUGGCCGUGAUAAACUGGAGGAAGGGGGGGAUGACGUCAAGUCAUCAUGGGCCUUACCAGUAGGGCUACACACGUGCUACAAUGGCGCAUACAAAGAGAAGCGAACUCGCGAGAGCAAGCGGACCUCAUAAAGUGCGUCGUAGUCCGGAUUGGAGUCUGCAACUCGACUCCAUGAAGUCGGAAUCGCUAGUAAUCGUAGAUCAGAAUGCUACGGUGAAUACGUUCCCGGGUCUUGUACACACCGAGAA
rnacentral:rRNA from 1 species